rnacentral:rRNA from 1 species
ACGGUAACAUAGAAAAGCUUGCUUUUCUGAUGACGAGUGGCGCACGGGUGCGUAACGCGUAUACAAUCUGCCUUUAAGCGGGGAAUAGCCCAUGGAAACGUGGAUUAAUACCCCAUAGUAUAUAGCCACCUCCUGGUGAUUAUAUUAAACAUUUAUGGCUUAAAGAUGAGUAUGCGUCCUAUUAGUUAGUUGGUAAGGUAACGGCUUACCAAGACCGCGAUAGGUAGGGGUCCUGAGAGGGAGAUCCCCCACACUGGUACUGAGACACGGACCAGACUCCUACGGGAGGCAGCAGUGAGGAAUAUUGGACAAUGGAGGCAACUCUGAUCCAGCCAUGCCGCGUGCAGGAAGACUGCCCUAUGGGUUGUAAACUGCUUUUACAGAGGAAGAAACCUCCCCACGUGUGGGGAGCUGACGGUACUCUGCGAAUAAGGAUCGGCUAACUCCGUGCCAGCAGCCGCGGUAAUACGGAGGAUCCAAGCGUUAUCCGGAAUCAUUGGGUUUAAAGGGUCCGUAGGCGGGAUAAUAAGUCAGUGGUGAAAGUCUGCAGCUCAACUGUAGAAUUGCCAUUGAUACUGUUGUUCUUGAAUCAUUAUGAAGUGGUUGGAAUGAGUAGUGUAGCGGUGAAAUGCAUAGAUAUUACUCAGAACA